AUUGAUUUUAUGCUUGCAUAAAUGAUUUUUGGAUUCGGAGCGAGUGGCGAACUGGUGAGUAACACGUGGGUAACCUGCCCCGAAGCGGGGGAUAACAUUUGGAAACAAGUGCUAAUACCGCAUAAUUAGUUGGAACCGCAUGGUUCCAACUUGAAAGAUGGCUCUGCUAUCACUUUGGGAUGGACCCGCGCCGUAUUAGUUAGUUGGUGAGAUAAAAGCCCACCAAGACGAUGAUACGUAGCCGACCUGAGAGGGUAAUCGGCCACAUUGGGACUGAGACACGGCCCAGACUCCUACGGGAGGCAGCAGUAGGGAAUCUUCCACAAUGGACGAAAGUCUGAUGGAGCAACGCCGCGUGAGUGAUGAAGGUUUUCGGAUCGUAAAACUCUGUUGUUAAAGAAGAACAAGUGUUAGAGUAACUGUUAACACUUUGACGGUAUUUAACCAGAAAGCCACGGCUAACUACGUGCCAGCAGCCGCGGUAAUACGUAGGUGGCAAGCGUUGUCCGGAUUUAUUGGGCGUAAAGCGAGCGCAGGCGGUUUUGUAAGUCUGCUGUGAAAGCCCUCAGCUCAACUGAGGAAGUGCAGUGGAAACUACAAAACUUGAGUACAGAAGAGGAAAGUGGAACUCCAUGUGUAGCGGUGAAAUGCGUAGAUAUAUGGAAGAACACCAGUGGCGAAGGCGGCUUUCUGGUCUGUUACUGACGCUGAGGCUCGAAAGCAUGGGUAGCGAACAGGAUUAGAUACCCUGGUAGUCCAUGCCGUAAACGAUGAAUACUAGGUGUUGGAGGGUUUCCGCCCUUCAGUGCCGCAGCUAACGCAUUAAGUAUUCCGCCUGGGGAGUACGACCGCAAGGUUGAGACUCAAAGGAAUUGACGGGGGCCCGCACAAGUGGUGGAGCAUGUGGUUUAAUUCGAUGCUACGCGAAGAACCUUACCAGCUCUUGACAUCUUCUGCCAACCCAAGAGAUUGGGCGUUCCCUUCGGGGACAGAAUGACAGGUGGUGCAUGGUUGUCGUCAGCUCGUGUCGUGAGAUGUUGGGUUAAGUCCCGCAACGAGCGCAACCCUUAUUAUUAGUUGCCAGCAUUUAGUUGGGCACUCUAGUGAGACUGCCGGUGAUAAA
rnacentral:rRNA from 1 species